rnacentral:rRNA from 1 species
AACGUAGGACGCGAGCGUUAUCCGGAGUUACUGGGCGUAAAGCGCGGGCAGGCGGUCUGACAAGUCUGAUGUGAAAUCUCCGGGCUCAACCGGGAGAGGCCAUUGGAAACUGACAGGCUGGAGGGCAGUAGAGGUAGGCGGAAUUCCGGGUGGAGUGGUGAAAUGCGUAGAGAUCGGAAAGAACACCAACGGCGAAAGCACUCUGCUGGGCCGACACUGACACUGAGAGACGAAAGCUAGGGGAGCAAAUGGG